rnacentral:rRNA from 1 species
GAACUUAAGCAUAUCAAUAAGCGGAGGAAAAGAAACUAACAAGGAUUCCCCUAGUAACUGCGAGUGAAGCGGGAAAAGCUCAAAUUUAAAAUCUGGCGUGCCUCUGGUCGUCCGAGUUGUAGUUUAGAGAAGCGUUUUCUGUGUUGGACCGUGUAUAAGUCUCUUGGAACAGGGCGUCAUAGAGGGUGAGAAUCCCGUCUUUGACACGGACUACCAAUGCUUUGUGAUACGCUCUCAAAGAGUCGAGUUGUUUGGGAAUGCAGCUCAAAAUGGGUGGUAAAUUCCAUCUAAAGCUAAAUAUAGGCGAGAGACCGAUAGCGAACAAGUACCGUGAGGGAAAGAUGAAAAGCACUUUGGAAAGAGAGUUAAACAGUACGUGAAAUUGCUGAAAGGGAAACGCUUGAAGUCAGUCACGUCUGCCAGGACUCAGCCUUGCUUCUGCUUGGUGUACUUUCUGGUUGGAUGGGCCAACAUCGAUUUCGACCGUUGGAGAAAGGCUUUGGGAAUGUGGCACCUUCGGGUGUGUUAUAGCCCUUUGUCGUAUACAAUGGUUGGGAUCGAGGACUGCAGCAUGCCUUCAUGGCCGGGGUUCGCCCACGUACAUGCUUAGGAUGUUGGCAUAAUGGCUUUAAGCGACCCGUCUUGAAACACGGACCAAGGAGUUUAACAUGCCUGCGAGUGUUUGGGUGGAAAACCCAUGCGCGUAAUGAAAGUGAUAGCUGAGAUCCUCUCAUCAGGAGCAUCAGCGCCUGGACUUGAUCUACGGAGACGGUUCUACGGUAGAGCAUGUAUGUUGGGACCCGAAA